GUCCUGGCCCUAAAACGGUGCGCGUUUGCUGUGAGCGGGGUCGAAUCCGUUCGUGGCGAAGCUAACGCGUUAAACGCGCCGCCUGGGAAGUACGGCCGCAAGGUUAAAAACUCAAAGAAAUUGACGGGGGCCUGCACAAGCGGUGGAGUAUGUGGCUCAAUUCGAUGCAACGCGAAGAACCUUACCUGGCCUUGACAUGCACGUAGUAGAAGGGUGAAAACCUAACGAGGUAGCAAUACCAGCGUGCACAGGUGCUGCAUGGCUGUCGU
rnacentral:rRNA from 1 species